AUACGGAGGGUGCGAGCGUUAUCCGGAUUUAUUAGGUUUAAAGGGUGUGUAGGCGGGAGCCUAAGUCAGUGGUGGAAUCUCACAGCUUAACUGUGAAACUGCCAUUGAAACUGGGUUUCUUGAGUAUAGUUGAGGUAGGCGGAAUGUGUAAUGUAGCGGUGAAAUGCAUAGAUAUUACACAGAACACCGAUUGCGAAGGCAGCUUACUAAGCUAUUACUGACGCUGAUGCACGAAAGCGUGGGUAGCGAACAGGAUUAGAAACCCGAGUAGUCC
rnacentral:rRNA from 1 species